AUUUAAAUAGUUUUAAUUUAAAAUAUUGAAUUGUGGAUUCAAAGAUGUGUAUAUUAACUUUAAAUU
rnacentral:tRNA from 1 species